ensembl:lncRNA
AUGCAUUCUCUCCUGACUCUGGCCAAGUCACCUGUAAGUCCUGGGUUAUCUGUUUGGCUCUCCCUUGGGAACAUGCUAGACUCUGGUUGUAUACAGGAGCAGGGAAAUUUUAAACAAGCGUUAGGCCUGUACUGUUUUCUGCAUUGGGGGAGGGCUCUGCUCCCUGAACACCCAUGCAGUAGGAGAACCAAGGGGGGUUCCUUUUCACUGCAGUUUUCUCCCUGUGCUCUCUUGCAUGCCUUCAAGGGAGGAUUAUGUUUGACGCCCUUUCUUCCCAUGAAAAAAUGCGGCCUCCUUUCUUACAAGACCUGCCCAAGAUCAAAUCACUGCACUGAGGAAAGCCAUGGGAACACACAGUGAGAAGGCAGCCAUCUGCAAGCCUGGAAGAGAUCCCACACCUGGGCGUGCUGGCAUCCUAAUCUCGGACUUUCAGCCCCCAGAACUGUGAGAAAAUAAAUUUCUGUUGUUAAGUCACCCAGGCUAUUUUAUUUUAUUAUGGCAGCUCGAGGAGACUAAUAGAGGGACCUGUUAAGUUAGCUCAUUACUCAAAAGCUUUCUUUCCUCCUUUUCCUUCCCUCCUUCCCUCACUCCUUCCCUUCUUUCCUUCCUUCCUUUCUCUCUCUCUCUCUCUCUUUUAGAGAAGCACAAUCUAAACCUAUAUGGAAGAAAAAAAUGGUCUCUAUUAACUGGAUUAUGGCCCUGCCCUUUAAGAGACAACAGACCUCCACAGUUUUGCUGAAGACCAUGGGAUCUGUUCUUGCUUCUUUUGGGUCUAUAGCAUCACAGAUAGCACACUAGCUUUUGGUGGCUUCUUUCCAUGUAACCCGGGCAAUGUCAUUGCCUCUCAUUAAAAUCUUUUAGCUUAGUCUCUCUCUCUCAUGAAGAGAAGAACUGUGGGGUAGGAGUAGGCAAUGUGUGUAUGGGAAGCACUUGACAUUUUCUCCGGUACAGUUUAGUCAUUUAUGUGUUCAAUCAUCCAUCCUAUUAGCAGUGAGCUUUUAUUGAGAAUAAAGGUAACAUACAUACUGGGUGUAUUUCAUAUACGUUAUCUCACUUGAUUCUCAUCGCAACCCUUUGAGAUGGACAUUGUUAUUAUCCCAUUUUACAGAUGAGAAAGCCAAAGUUUGGAGAGUUUAAGCCACUCAUAGGUUCAGACAAUGAGAGCGUGAUGAAGCUGACAUUCACGUCCCAAUGCCUGUGCUCUUUAUAUCUUGAGACUUCAUCUUGAUUUUCUGUCUGCAGGGUUCAUGCUAAGCAGGGCAGGUGAGGUAGGAGGGUUAGCAGACACUUGGGUGUGAACACUGUCAUCAAACCCAGCAGUCAAUUAGAGGAGCUGAGACAAUGAGGGAAUAACUGUAACGCAAAAUAGAAAGCAGGAAAAUCUUAAUGUAGUGAUACCAAUCUUCAGGAUUCUGCAACAACAGCAACAAGAACAAAAAUCAGAACUCCAAGGGGUUCUUGCGAAUUCUUAAAAUCCUAAGUUAUUCUUAAGAUACUAAUGUUCUUCAUUCUGUCUGCUCAUUAUUAUGUGUAGCUAAAGUUUUUGUUUAAGAAAUAAGAAACAUGAAGUUAGUAGAGUAGAACUGUAGCCUAUAGUGCAUGUUAAACCAUGGGAAAAUGCCAGGGAACACUAUUGGAUGGUAUUUGAAUAAUGUAACAUUGAGAUCUGCUAGCAAGGUUAACAGCAACAUGCAGAAGCAUAUGUCAAAAUUACGAAUUUAGAGACUUCUCUUUUGUUUCCAAAACUUAUUUCUUGGAACAUCACUCACAGAAUUUGUGUAAUGUGUACUAUGCAUAUGAACAUGUUAAUAUUAUUUUAUUUGCAAGAAUAACUCAUUGAUCACAGCAAAAACAGCAGGAAACACAUACCAAUUAAAUGACAAUGGUUACAUGCAAGACCAAUGUCAGACCUGACCUUCAACUCUGGAUGUCAGUGUUUCCUAUUUUUGGGACUGGCUGGACAUCAGUGAAUUCUUUUGAACCAGUAAUGUCUUUGAAUUGAUAAGCUCUAAUUCUCAUAGGAGAUUUAUG